GCAACUUCAUCAACAGGUGCGAUGGGAGGCAGGCGGCAACGGCCUGGUUUGGGGUCGGUGGGGUGGGGGUUGCGGAAGGCAGGUAGGUGUGCGGCUGGGCGUGGUUCAGGCGGCUUUUGGUCCCCGGAGAAGAGGGAACGCGGGUAAAUGUGGGUGGGUGGGUGGGGGUUCAAGGCGACAAGGUACACACAGAGCCCUCCCUCCGCGCCCGGUGCGGCCCCUGUCCGUCAGGUCGCUGAUGUUCGUGGCCAAGUUCUUCGAGGGGGUGAUUCCGGGGGCUACGGAGGCGGGGCUGGCGGAGGCGGAGGAGCUGGGCAAGACUGUGGGGCCCAAGGUGAGGGGAUGGGGAUAGAUGUGGAGAUGGGGGGAUGGCUACUGCGUAGAUAGCCUCAGACACUGUAUGUGGAGUGUUUGGACUGGAUCCAGGCCUUGCGUUUCCUCCUGCACGUCCGCACCUCAAUCCCCCCCCCACACACACACCUCACUCCCUCACCCCCGUACGCUCUCCAUCCCUCACCCCCAGGUUGAGGAGUACAUAUCCGCGCUGGAGCGCAUUAAGCUGAAGGAGGGCCUGAGGCUGGUCAUGUCCAUAUCGGCGGAUGGAAACAAGUUCCUGCAGGUGGGGAGUCCAGUCCAGGGAGGGAGGGAAGGGUUAGGCAGGAAUGAAGGGAAGGGUUAGGCAGGAAUGAAGGGGGCCGGGGAAGAGGAAAUAAAGUAGUAAGCGUGUUAGACGGGGGCCGGCAGUGGUCUUCGGCUCGGUCAGGUUCUGUCCUUUUGAGUCCUGGUCCAGGACCUUUACAGUGGCUGUGGACCUCACCAUUGGUGGUGAUAAAGGUGUGGAUGAGUCGUGUAGCUGCCCCACCGUGCCAAUCGCCUU
rnacentral:lncRNA from 1 species